GAGGUAGUAGUUUAAUGGUAGAACAGGAUGUUACGGCCUUCAAAGUUAUAGUUCGAAUCUAUAGUACCUUU
rnacentral:tRNA from 1 species